rnacentral:lncRNA from 1 species
CAAAACACAAAUAAUGAGGACAUUUUAUCGAAAGACUUGGAAAUAUGUUGCCUGGGAUGACUAGUUCAAAAUUACGAUAAAUAAUACCACACUAUAUUCUAAGCACUUAUUUGAAGAAUUCAAGGAUUUUUCUUUAUAGUAUAUGGGAGAUGAUAUACCGAUGUAUACAAUAACAACACAGCAAACACGAGACAAAAUUAGAAGAGACACCACAGAACAACAGACAAUUGCAUGUCAAAUAUACGGAAUGUGUGUUACAGGAAUUUAGAG